rnacentral:misc_RNA from 1 species
CCGAGUUUACAACUCCCAAACCCAAUGUGAACCAUUACCAAACUGUUGCCUCGGCGGGGUCACGCCCCGGGUGCGUAGAAGCCCCGGAACCAGGCGCCCGCCGGAGGGACCAACCAAACUCUUUCUGUAGUCCCCUCGCGGACGUAUUUCUUACAGCUCUGAGCAAAAAUUCAAAAUGAAUCA